UGUUGUAUCAGUGUCUACAUUGUCAGUUGAAAACAAAUGUAAACACUGUAUUGCAUAGAACUUGAAAAGUUGCACUAAUUUUUAAACUUCUUUUUGUUUUAUUUCUUUGGAAAUGAUUCUUUUAUAUUCACAUAAAGAUUUUUAAAAUUUAUUCAUUGGUGUCUUUUUUCAGUUAUGCCCUUAAUGUUACCUUCUAGGCAACGUAUGAAAUAAUUCUGCGUGCUGUUUCAUUCACACUGUAUCAUAUAUUACUUUACGGGAUAUUGUUGUCUUGCAGCAAAAAAUUGGAGGUGUGAUGCCCUUCCCAGUUCAUUCCUGCUUUAAGUUCUGCUUCCUUGUCCAGCUGAUUGCCUCUAGCAAUCAUCUGAGAACUGGGCAGAUGAAGUGGAAAGGUUCAAAGCUUCUAGAAAUUAGCUCUUAAGUAAUUGCUUUUUGCUACUGAAAGAAGCUCAGCUCUCUGCAUGCUCUCCUCAGCCACACCUAAGAUGACAGUUCUUGGCUCAUUAUUAUUUGGAAAAGAAGACUCCAGAGUGAAGAUCAGCAGGAGGGAAGAGCCUAGUUUCUGACCUGUUUUUACCACAGAGCUUGUCUGUAUCCUAAUCCUUGGCCUGAGCAGCCUGACAUAGAACCUUCACACAUCUCUGCCUUACGGAUCUGUGAAACAGGAGCCACGAGUGCCAGAAAUAUCAUCUUCGUCCAACCUGUUGUCUGGAAUUGUGCUAUGUGUUACAGAACUGUGCUUGGUCAGUGUGCAACUGUGGGAGCAAUUGUGUGUCUCUUCUAAAAUGGGCAGCUCUGCAGUGUCAGCUCAACCUUCUCCGCUGCCUCCUGUCCAGAAAAGGAGAAGAAAGCACCUUCAUCAGGAGGAAAAGAUUCAACAAGUGAAAUGAAAGAUCCUGGGUGGGCACCUUCUUGGAGAUGGUUGUUUUCUCUGGAAAGGAAGAUUUGAAACGGCUGCAAAAAAGUAUUAGCAUGGAAGAAAUGAAAACGGUCCAAGUUGGAUUCUGCCUUCCACACAACUGCUGAGGGAAGUGGUCCUCACCCUGCUCAUCCCUGAAUGCAUCUGUGAGGAAUUGGCACUCCUUCUGUAUCCGCUCCUCCAGACUCCUCUUCCCCAGGCCAAGGUUUCAGAGGGUGGUCAAGGUGAACCUUCUCUGCUGCUUCUACAGGUGCCCAUUGGAGGACAGCAGCCCUCGCAGAAGCAUUUCACAGUGAGCAAAGUAAGAUGUUCUCAGCAAGGGGAAGAAACUGGAGGACAUCUGCCUUGAGAAACGAGGAGGAGCUGUGAAAGUAGCUGUGUUCAGAAUGAAUGUGAAGCUACAACAUUUCCCCCAACUUUCCUCCUCAUAUGUCCAAAAGAACGAUGCUUUCACUGUGUUUCAGGUAUGUGUCACUAUUGAUAACUCACCCAAUUUGCUGAAGACCUCUGCAUUCAUAGGAAUUUCAGGGCGAUCCAUGAAGUUCUCUCCCUGGGUCACAAGGGCUUCCUUGAUUAGUGGAAGUCCAUUUACAAUCACAAAUGACUGGGUGCCUACUUGCAUGCUGAAGAUAUCUCCAUGUUCUUCAAUAAUCUGGGGAGGAGGUAAAUAUAUAAAACAGGAUUGAUUUGC
rnacentral:lncRNA from 7 species